rnacentral:rRNA from 1 species
UACAGAGGGUGCGAGCGUUGUCCGGAAUCACUGGGCGUAAAGGGCGCGUAGGUGGCGUGAUAAGGGUGUGGUGAAAGCCCGGGGCUCAACCCCGGGUCUGCCAUGCCGACUGUCAGGCUAGAGUACUGUAGGGGCAGGCGGAAUUCCGGGUGUAGCGGUGGAAUGCGUAGAUAUCAGGAAGAACACCCGUGGCUAAGGCGGUUCUCUAGUACGGUACUGACGCUGAGACGCGAAAGCGUGGGGAGCGAACAGG